rnacentral:rRNA from 1 species
AGUGAACGCUGGCGGUAGGCCUAACACAUGCAAGUCGAACGGCAGCACAGUAAGAGCUUGCUCUUACGGGUAGCGCGUGGCGGACUGCUGUGGUCUACAGCGGAAUCUACUUUUACUUGGAUGAUUACGUAGGGUACCCUAUGCUGAUACCGCAUACGACCUAAGGAUGAACGCACGGGAUCUUCGGACCUUGCGCGAUUAAAUGAGUCGAUGUCGGAUUAGCUAGAUGGGGCGGGAAAGGCCCACCAAGGCGACGGUCCGUAGCUCGUCUGAGAGGAUGAUCAGCCAGACUGGAACUGAGACACGGUCCAGACUCCUACGGUAGGCAGCAGUGGAGAAUAUUAGACGAUGGAGGCGAGGCUGAUACAGCAAUACCGCGUGAAUGAAGAAGGAGCCAGGCUUGUAAAGCGCUUAUGGUGGGAAAGAUGAACAGCAGGUUCAUACGCCGCUGUAAUGACGGUACCCAAAGAAGAAGCACCGGCUAACUUCGUG